rnacentral:rRNA from 1 species
GACGGACGCUGGCGGCGUGCUUAACACAUGCAAGUCGAACGGUAAGGCCCUUCGGGGUACACGAGUGGCGAACGGGUGAGUAACACGUGGGUGAUCUGCCCUGCACUUCGGGAUAAGCCUGGGAAACUGGGUCUAAUACCGGAUAGGACCACUGCCUGCAUGGGUGGUGGUGGAAAGCUUUUGCGGUGUGGGAUGGGCCCGCGGCCUAUCAGCUUGUUGGUGGGGUGAUGGCCUACCAAGGCGACGACGGGUAGCCGGCCUGAGAGGGUGACCGGCCACACUGGGACUGAGAUACGGCCCAGACUCCUGCGGGAGGCAGCGGUGGGGAAUAGUGCACAAUGGGCGCAAGCCUGAUGCAGCGACGCCGCGUGAGGGAUGACGGCCUUCGGGUUGUAAACCUCUUUCAGCACCGACGAAGCGCAAGUGACGGUAGGUGCAGAAGAAGGACCGGCCAACUACGUGCCAGCCGCCGCGGUAA